UCGCAAAUAUUGAACUUCAGAGCACCCGGGAAUUUUUGCAAACACACACACACACACACACACACACACACACGGGCAGAAGUAGAAAGCUGGGGAAGAUGUGGUUGUGCAGGAGCACAUGUGAAAAGGAGCUUAGCAGCCCAGAUGCCAGGGGGACCGGCGUGAGUCAGCUGGAGGAUGUGGGCGCCAACAACCUCGGGCAGGCCUGGACCAAGCAGAGCAUCCAGAAAAAGAAGGGUGCGGACUGGCUCUGCCUUAGCAGUGGUCAGACCACCCUGGAGGGCUGGCUCUGUCUGAAGGCCCAUCAUGUGACAGGAAAGGGUGUAUUCCGAGGACAGCUACAAAGAAGCUGGGAGGAGGAGAAGCACUGAGGAGUUAGCAAAGCCUGGUGUGAUAGCACACCCUUGGGAGACUGAGGCAGGAAGAUCAAUAGUUCGAGGCUAGCCUGAGGCUACGCGUGCUUGCUCAGGUGAUUGUUCUUCAGCAGUAUCUGAUGAGCGGAAUGAGUUGCAUGAAAACUGUCAUGAUUUUGACCACGGGAAGACACUGUUCUUUCCAUGUGGCUUUGGAAAGACGGAAGUGGAAGAGAGGGCGGAUAUGACAAGACAGCGGACUUCAGCUAAAAUCAGGAAGUGUUUAUAACAAUAGUGACGACAGCUUCAUUAUGUCUUACUCGUGCAAUGCUACAUGAUAAGCAACUCCAAACAGCCCAGAGCAGUAGCAAGAAGCCCUUCAUUAAUUAUCUCACACAGCUCAUGCCAGCCAGGAACUCAGGAGUGGUGAGGAGAUUGGUUCCGGCUUGGCAUCUCUCAUGGGUUGCAGAUGCCAGCCAGGGCUGCGGUUAUCUGAAGAUGACAUUCUGGCAUACUCACGUGGUUGCUGAAGUCCUCAUUCAGAUUCACACACGAUCGACAACCUGAUUCUUCUCUUUCAUCAUCCACUUCCUAGUCUUCUGCUCCCAGUUCACUUUGAUCAGAGGCUACUGUCUCAACAUAGAUAAAGAGAAUCAUUUUGGAAGGACCUCAGAAAAAGGAGCUGCUGGGGUCCUCCUUUGUCUGCUGUGUUUACUUGUCCUAAUUGCCAAGACUCUGAAGAGGGGGAUGAAAACAAGAGAAGAUGUGAAGACAGCUUAUGAACUGUAAAGUAUUGUUAAAAUCAAAGCCAUUACACUUACUUUUUUUUUCUUAAGGAAUUUUCCAAUCCAUUCUAUCCUGAGUUAGAAAAAAAAAAAAAAAACAACAAAACAAAACAACUGAAAACACUUUAUUUUAUCCUGAAAUAUUUAAUAAGCUAUAAGAAGCAUUUUGAUUUGUGGGGGAAGAUGAAACCUCAAAUUGAACUUCUAAGUGCUUGGUUUGUGUUUAUUACUAAUUUAUUUCCUUGUUAAACUUCGGAUGACGUGUGAUAAACUGUCUGUGUCACCGUGCUAUUGAUUGUACUGCAUUAGAAGCUGAAUUAAAUGUACAUUACUCUGGGGCUGGUCACCGUGAUGGACGCUUUAAAAGGUUUUGAGGGAGAAUAAGUGAGAACCAUUAGGGCCCUUUAGACUCUGUCUCCCAUUGGCCCCUGUCACCCUGGGGAAGUUCUCCUGUAGCUUGGUGGCAUGUAUAACUUUGUCUUAAUGCUUCCCCUAAUGAUUUCUAAUGACUGCUUGGUCAUACCACAUACUUUGUAAAGAAAUAGCUGUCUCCCACAACCUUGUCUUGGGCUCAUUCUAGAAGAUUAGGCCUUUGUGUAUACCCAUGUCAGAUACAAAAUUUCGUGGUGAGUCUCUCAGUACUAGGUACUCCUCUGCUGGUGUGAUUAAAAAACAAAACAAAACAAACAACCAACAACAAAAACAUGUCCAGGAGCAGCUUACAGAGGGAAGACUUUAUUUGGCUUAUGGUUCCAGAGGAUAUGGGUGCAGCAAGACCAGGAGGCGGGGCAGCAGGUGGCAGGCAUAGCACCUGGAGCAGAAGCUAAGGGUUCACAUCUUAAACCUAAAGCAUGAAACAGAGAGCAGGCUGAAGAUGGCGAGGGUCUUUAAAGCCCCAAAGUCUGCCUCCAGUGACAUACUUCCUCCCAUAUGGCCACUCCUCUGAAGCCUCACAGUGCCACCAACUGGGUACCAAGUGCUCAAAUGCCUGAGCCUAUGGGGGAUAUUUCUAAUACAGACUAAGACAGUCGUCAUUUUAUGAGGUCAUUUGCUCAUUGAUUCAUCCAUCUAACACCAGUUGAAUAUUAACACUGUUAUAUUGAGACAGUGGCUCCUUUUAUACCACCAAGUUAUCACUGGGACCAGUACUUGGAAAGGAGUCACUGUUGACUUAUCCUAGAAGAAAGUGUCAAGUUAUGGGAAAAUGAAGAAGUGGAGGCCAGAGUCAGGUUUCUAUUCCAGUAUCUCCCAGGUGGGUGGCAUUGGUCAAGUCACUUUUUAAAAUUUAAUUGAGCAUUUCUUUGGGGCUUUAAUGUGGUUAGUUUUUGUAGAUAUGUAUACAUGAAGACUGUGUUGCUUAUUGUGUAUAAGGCCCUAAGUUUACUUCAGUGACUUAAUUAAUACAACAAACUAGGAGAGCUGGAGAGGUGGCUCAGUGGUUAAGAGCACUGCCUGCUCUUCGAGUUUAAGUCCCAGCAACCACAUGGUGGCAUACAACCAUCUGUAAUGAGAUCUGCUGCCCUCUUCUGGCCUGAAGGCAUACAUGCAGGCAGAAUACAGUAUACAUAAUAAAUAAAUAUUUAAAAAAAAUACAACAAAGUAGUGAUUUUACUUUUCUAUAUUGUAGGGAGUAACCCUGGUCACAGGGAUGUAACAGGGGUUUUAGAAGGAGGGAGAGAUGCACUCAGCUCUCUCGCUAGGCUCAUCGGACUGAGAAGAUAUUUUUGGGUCCUUGUGUGAGUAUUUUCCCCUAAUAAACUACCAUUAUAAAC
ensembl:lncRNA